GUUCUGUUUAUCUCCCGAUCUUUCGCUGAAAUCGACUGUAAAUGAUUGAUGCAUAAGUCUGUCGCUCGCGAUAUCCCAAAAAGUCUCUUUCUCUUGUUACGAUCACUGGAGGACGGACUCACGGCCCUAAGACGGACACACACGAGAGAACUCUUGAAGCCGCCGACAGCUAGCGUGUCGCCUGAAUAGUGGACUCGAGUACUCGACCACCGAUGCUCUGAGUGAGGUACCUACCUUUUCACUAUCACUUUGUGACGAACGCCUUUGUUUGCUGCAGCCUCCGUUCCAUAUGAUUGCUUCGCUGACAUGUUCCAACAUGACGCUAUCGAUACGAACAUUAAACACGACAAGCCUGUUGAUGAAAUGCUAUCGGAUUGGAUCCAGUGCGUUUGCGUCGUUACCUUUGAAUUGGAGCUUGGCCUGGCGGUGAAGUUGGUCUACCCCAGCGACAUCAAAUUAUCCGAGGAAAUUAAAACUAACCUCUGUUAUCAAGCGUUUCCCAACUCCAAUUCCAGAUGCAUGGGAAUCACUCAAUUCUAUGUCAAGAAAAAGUGUUCUCAAUCUUCAAAUCUCAGUCAACGCCAUACAAAAAAUAUUGCAAAAUUUCCAGUUUUUUUACAAGCUGAUCAUCGUUGUUUAUAUGGGUUUGUUUUCUUUUGACAAAUCAAAUAUAUGUCUUUCACGAGGAUAUUUUCAAAAAAGUUUCCCGUUGGCUUAUGCAAUAUUAACAGGAAAGACACAAGAAAUAUAUGUAGAGUUUCCGUCAUAUAUUAGAAAUGUAUUACUGUUAAUAUACAGUCAACUACCAAUAAUUAGUGACUAUGAAUUUGGAUUGAUGAAUGGGAUUAAAAUUAUAUUCCCUGAAAGCAAUCAAGCAAGGAUGUUACUUCCAUUUUUGCUUAGUAUCUAUAUAAAACAAUUAAAAUAUAAUUUUUGUCAGAAUAUAUAUGUAUAUCGAGAUUUAUAUGUUUUACUUUUCGUUUUAAGCAAUAAUCCGGUAUUUUAGAAAUAAAAAGACGAGCAUUUACAAUCUCAUUAAAAGGAAUCCAAUUGCUGCACGAGUGUUGAGAUUGGUUUUAGCUUUACCAUAUCUGCCUGCAGUUGGAACGGACAACUUUCUUUCAAUGAAGGAUGUAUUCAAACAAUUGUAGAUUAUGUUUACCAAUUUUCCCAAUUUCAUGAUGUAUUGUGAGGGAUUUUUAUUUAUAUUUGGAUGUAUCGGUUUGAAACGAUGAAACCUACUUAUAAUAAAAGUAAUUAUUUGUAAUAAAAGUUUACCAAAACGGUAUUUGAUCAAAUAACUUUGUUGAAAGUUACUACGCUUCAAUGUUAAGGCUGAUUAAACUUUAUCCCAAAGUGUGGGAAUUCUAUAGUAAGACUUAAAUACUUAUUAUUAAUUUUGUUCUUAAAUUCAAACUAACAGUGGCAAUUUAAUUUAUUAUGUUUCUGUUUCAAUCUCAUGAAAGAAGUACAUAGUAUGAUUAAUCCUAAAAAAUAUAUUUUGUUUUAUUAUUUUUGCACCCCCUACUAAAAUUAAUCAAACGAAGAAAAUUAAUUGUAUAAUAUUCUUAAUUAUACAUUUUUAAAAAAUAUUUUAUAGUUAAAAAUGCAAAUUUUUAAAUAGUGAAAUAGGUAUAAAUUACCUACUACUUACUUUACAUUUGUCUAUUACAUUUGUUGUGUGCGAAAAUUACAUUUGUUUCUCUCAGAUACCAAGAGCAUAUGGGUACACAUGUACACACGAGCAGUGUUUGGACAACUGGCAGCGUCGUCCGAGUAAUAUCCUGAAUACCCAUGUAUAAGCGAGGCGCUGCAUUCGUACACGUGUGGAGUCAAAAUGGAGUAUCAACACGGACGAGAGCAGCUAAUACAAAAACAGUUAAAGAUUACCUAACAGAUUUGACUGAAGAUUUACACGCAGAUCGACUGUUAAUAUUUUUGAGAUGAGCUGACACAGAGUAGAUGGAUAUAUUACACAAUAGUUUGGUCCUUAUCCAAGUGUGUUAUAAUUUAUAAUAUGAUAUUGUUAUUAAAUAUUCAAAUAUUGAUCUACAAUUUCAUAUGAAGAAGAGCUACUAGUAGCUGAUAAUGUUCAAUAAUAAUUUUACCUAUUUUUUUUAUAAGCCUGACAAUUUUGAAUUACAAAUUAAUUUUAAACUGUGUGUACCUAUUUAUUAAGAUUUUUGUAGUUUUUACCACGAUAGUUAAACUGUUUACUACGAUUAUUCAUGAAUAUUUCAUAUUAUUAUAAUAAUAUAAUAUGUGCAGUUGUACUAUUCACACAAAAUAGGUACUUAACUUUUAACUUUAAACUUAAUUAUAUUUUUCUAUAUGGACUUAACUUAACAAGUUAAAAAAAAAAUAUUUUACUAACCAGCCUUGUUUAUUAACAGUAACACAUUCAUAAUCAUUGUAGUAUACUAUUCAAUAUUAAUAACCACACCUUAAGUAUUUAAGCAUCUAUUAUAAAUGUAGAAUGUAUUUUUAUUU